UACCCGAUGCAUCUCUGUAACAAUAUGCGCGUAUGUGCACGGUUAUCACGUCUUACGUCUCUUUGUUCGUUGUAGAUCCGACCGAUACACGAUGCAAUCUAACGGCUGAUCGCGGAUGGGAUGAACGUAUUAAAUAUGUAUGUGGCACGGAAAGACGGAUGCACUGAGAUGCAUCGCGCUGAAGAUAAUCCUCGUAGAAAGUUACGACACACAGGAAAAAGAACUGCUGCUGUUCGAGAAAUUCUAUGGAUCUGAAGUUAUUAAAAGGAUGAAACGAUAGAUAGCCUUUACGUCAGCUUUGACCAGUCCAAACGCUCAUGGCGCACAAACUGAAAAUCUCCAACAGUUUUAUCACGCACCAAGACCGGCUAAGCACAAUGAUACAGGGAACACGAAAUCGUAAAAUGCUAAUCUUCCUGAAUCCACCAAAAUGCUAUGGCUGGCUAUGGUACUCGAUAUUUCAACCAUGAUAGACAAGAAUUCGUAAAACACAAGUACGUAAACAGCGAGGAAAACAUUUUCAUGAAUAUUCACGACCCAUCGAUUUUUUACGAAAUCAAUCGCUUAUGUAAACCUUACGUAAGAAUGAACGAGACCUCUCGAAUAAUAGAUGCAAAUGAAGAAUAUCUGACUAACAAUAAGACGUUCGACUUUAAUCCCCUCAUGAGGAAUGUUUUUUAAUUUUUAUUCUUCUACGAACAACUUUCGACGAAGAUGACAUUCUGUUUCACUUUAGUUAUACGAGACGAUCAAUUCAUUACAGUCAAUUCUAUACAAUCAUCAUUAAUGUAAAUUCAAAAGCAUGAACUUUAUCCGUUUAUGUGCUUAUUUUAAUAUCUUAAUAUCGUUGAUUAAAAAUUGUUGCUGUUCGCAUACGUCCACAUCCCAAAUACGUACACGCGGCGCAUGAAUGAAUCAUAUUUAAUUUAUGUUUGAAUUAUGAAAGAUGUUGGAUUAUGAACGAAACGUACGACUUUUAAAAGACAAAAGACAACACGUGUCAUCAGCGAGAAUUGUGCGAUUGAACAAAGUCUCAGAUAAGAAGAGCGCUGAUCUUUAAAUAAAAAUAGCAUCGCUUUCUAACAUACGAAUAACCAUUUCGUUUCAUUGAAACAUUAGGUUGUCCGAAAAGUUUCUUUCGUUU